AGACAGUUCAUAAUGGCAUUACCAGACUCUAGUAAAUCAAAAUGCCAGAAAGGACCUUCAAAUUAAAGGAGGAUGGAUCUGGAUACUGUCGGUGAGUGGUUGGUAUUCCGGCUGCCGGUGAGGACGGCGUGAUUCUGAGUGCACGUACCGAACAGGAGCCUCACUUUCGGGGACAUGCAAAACAGGCGACGCCAGUUACUGCUGUUACCAAAGGUCCUGCUUGGAAGGUUGAACUAUUGCUGGUGGAUGCGAUCUGUGUCUUGUCUUCGCUAUCUGCCUAACACGUUUCGUAGGAGGUGCACCCUACUUCAUCAGAGACAUGCUAUCGUACAUUGCUUCAGACAUACAUUAAAUACCCUUAGGGUUAAUUGACAAUAAAACACUCGUUCAUGUGUAAGAUUAUAUACAUAUCAAAUAUUACAAAUAAAAAGUAUAUACAGAUACAAUUGGAU